AUUGAACGCUGGCGGCAUGCCUUACACAUGCAAGUCGAACGGUAACGGGCCUUCGGGUGCCGACGAGUGGCGAACGGGUGAGUAAUGCAUCGGAACGUACCUUUCAGUGGGGGAUAACGUAGCGAAAGUUACGCUAAUACCGCAUAUUCUGUGAGCAGGAAAGCAGGGGAUCGCAAGACCUUGCGCGGACUGAGCGGCCGAUGUCAGAUUAGCUAGUUGGUGAGGUAAAGGCUCACCAAGGCGACGAUCUGUAGCGGGUCUGAGAGGAUGAUCCGCCACACUGGGACUGAGACACAGCCCAGACUCCUACGGGAGGCAGCAGUGGGGAAUUUUGGACAAUGGGGGCAACCCUGAUCCAGCCAUGCCGCGUGAGUGAAGGAGGCCUUCGGGUUGUAAAGCUCUUUCGGCCGGGAAGAAAUCGCACAGGCUAAUACCUUGUGUGGAUGACGGUACCGGAAUAAGAAGCACCGGCUAACUACGUGCCAGCAGCCGCCGUAAUAC
rnacentral:rRNA from 1 species